UAUAUCUAAAACAAUGAAAGCCCUACCUCUCUUCCAUCCUUACGGCUCCUUGUCCGUGCCAGUGUGAAUCAGUAUUACAACGAUCAU
rfam:Fictibacillus phosphorivorans strain G25-29, complete genome.